UCAAUUGCAGAUACAUAAAUCAUGAUCACGGAUACAGACACCAUGGUUGCACAAAACCUGGAUCUUUAAUUCAGCAUUUGAUGGAUUUUUAUUGUCCUGUCCAAACUUGACAGGGUCAAAUCACAGUGGGAGAACCAAAGGCCAAACGCUCUCUUUUCAAGCUUAAUACGAACAUUUUUCCUGGCAACAUUGCUUUAGAGACGGCCCUAAGGAAGAAGCCCAUAACAAAAGAGAUCUUUCAAAUUAAACCUGAAAGAU